UUAUCGAUUGGAUCGUCGAUAAUCCAGGAUUUCGUUAUCGUCGCUGAAUGUUGGUUUUCGUGUAUCGAUAGCGUUCUUCGUUGAAUGCGAAGGUGGUCAAUUUUCGGAAAGAAAUAUUCGUACCGCGGUUGAUUAAGUUAAGUUGGUAGGUAGGUAGGUAGGUAGGAAGCGUCGCAUCGGCCCGCGAACGGUUAAAAUCGUUUAGUCGACGAGACGCGUGCAUAGAGUACACGAUAGGUGGACGAUAGCACGCGCAACGAGAACGUCGCGUCGUCGAUAGCUCGAUGCGAGUACGUACAGUAUGUGUCCCGGUAUAAAAGUCACAGCUGAACCAACAGUCUGUACGUAUACGGUAGGCAGCUUGUUUAUUACAGCGUAAUCCGUCGUAAGAUUUUUAAUUCCAUGCAUUUUCUCGUAACUCGGUAAUAUCGCUCGAGUACAACGGCACGGAACAUAUAUGUAGAUUGAACGCGUUAACGAAAAAUCCUUAGUCUCUGUCUUUUUUCAUUAGGAAUUCGCUUACGAAUUCUACGCAGGUAAGCAUACGUGUAUAUGUAUAAUCAGGAGGCUUAAAAAAAAGUUGAUCUCUUUCGCAGUGCCGUAACAUCGUCCGUAUGCCGAUUUAAAAGACGCCUUAGACACAGAACGAUACACACAAAACGAAGAACGAAGAAUAAGAAUAACAGCAGUAAUAAGUAAUCUUGUUCGAUACGAAAGAUCAUUAGGCUAUCGAAAUGUUCUCAGGAGUCGGUUAGAGCGCUCCAGUAUUUAACAAUUGCACGUAUCACGGCCUUAUCCGGCCGUGCAAUCCACCAACGCCCCUCUGAAAAUGAAAAUCGAAAGACCGAGUUUUCUUUCUCUUUCGAUCAACAAUAUUAUAUCGGGGCGAGUUUGAUCUAAAAACUGAAAGAGGAGAGAAGAAAUCGAAGCGGAAAACGAAGAAGGAAGAAGGAGGAAAGCAAGGGAAAGAGGAAGAGAAGGAAGGGUGUCAAAACGUCCUGCCGAAUGAUUCGUCUGGUCGAAAAAAUCUCCAGAGCAAAGAGGAGGCUGGCAGCCGAUACCUGUCGAUAUUUAACGAAUUAUCCCAGGUGCGGAUAAAUAUAAAUCUACUCCAGGUCGGAUCGUAUGUAUUAUGCAUGAGCUGCAAUGUAGCUGUCCCCCUACAGAGGUCGGAUAACCUAACCCAUCGAGAGCCGGCCGGCAAGUGUUCAAUAUAUCCUAGCCUAUCGAUCUCGUCGACCGAGCGCGAAAAGACGCGAGAAACGGGACAUAGAUAAGUAAUUACUUAAUAUUCUGCCGACACGGAUAACCGGCACUCGUCCCGUUUCUAUGGGUCUACGGUGUUUAGGCGCGCUACCCCCGCGUCUCGACCCGCUGCUGGACGGUGCUUAACUAGAUGAGAAAAUAAUUUCGAGAAUAGAAUUCUCUGGUUAUUAACGAUCUUAUUAAAAAGGAAGAAAAUUCAUGUCAUUGACGGGGAGGAAGAUCGGUGAGACGAGAGAAUGGAAAAUAUCGAGAAAACGUCAGGGUGGCGAAUAGCGCGGAACUAGUAUAAUUGGUUCGGUGAUAGGCGGUUCUUCGCAAUGCCGAUUAUUUCGCGAACAGUUACAAGAACCAACGUCUAUUUCCGCUCGAUUCCGUUCCGUUCCAUUCCGUUCCAUUCCGUUCCAUUCCGUUCCCCAUUCUGUCCCGUUCAGUUUCGUUUCUGUCAUUCUCGAUGCGAUUCUAUUUACGAGAUUAUGGCUGGAUCGAACAGGUCACACGGUUAAGCGUGCCAUCAGCCGCUAACGAAGAUUGACAUACCUAGAUUUUCCUAAAGAAUUUAAUAUUAGAUCGCAGCCACGCGACAGAUCGAACUCGCAUGGCCUUUCGAGACGUUCGCCCGCGCACGGAGUCGAAUCGAUUCCGGUCGGUGCCGAUAAUGGCAAUUAUCGAUAACUAACGACGAUAACCGUCAACACUAUCCAUUUCGCGAACGAUGAAACGUCGGAAAGAAAAAAGUUUCCUUUAUUCGCGAUUCUGGAAUCGAUACUUGAUCCAAUUAUGUAAAUUAGUCUUAUUAGUUUAAUUCUUUAAAUACCGAUUUAAAUACUGAUCUAAGUAUUCGUCUGAAAGGUUAAUAAAAAGACGUUAAUAUAAAAUACGUGGAAAAGCGAAGGAAAAUCAGACGGAAAAAUGGAUAUUCCCGAAUACGAUUAUCAGGAUAAUAAGGAUAAUAACGACCACUGGUUUCAUCUCGAUCGGUUUGAUCGAACGAAUUACAAUAUCGUAUAAAGUUGACAGAUCCUGGUAGAAAAACUGGAGAAACUUGGCCGGCUGAAACAUACCGGUAGCGGAGUAUUCGUAGAUUGGCCGAUUAAUGUUACGCGAACGGGGUAUCGAUAACGAAACGAAGAAGCUAGAAGGCUAGAAAUCGCAAAGUCGAGAGAUAGAGGGGUGGCUCGAAGAGAAUAUCCCGUAGAAAGCGACGGGGUUUUCGAUCGCGUGGCGAACAUCGCGCGUUCCAGGUGAAACCCUGUGAAAAAAAAAAAUCCGCACCCCGGAGAAAGCGGGGAGAAAGCGGGGAGAAAGCGGGGAAAAAGCGGGGAAAAAGCGAGGAAAAAAAGGGAACGGUUAACUAGACGCGCGGAUACCUUAGAGCACCGCGUAAAAGGGAUGUCGGCCCUCGUGAUCUCCUUUUGCUCGACGGUGCGAAGGAAAAACAAUGCACGUAGUAACAAAUACCUUUGGAGAGCAUCGAUCGAUCGCGAUGUCGGAAGAUAGAACAGGACACGCGUUCUACCUAGCGACGCGACGAAUCUUUACGAAUCACCCGAUGGUUUUGCGCCGCGUGUUCUACUUAACUUUCGACCGAAACUAUAACGGAACGAUGCCAGAGAAUUCGAAAGAUAAGUUCGUUUUCAAGUUGAUCUACCCAGAGAGGAAAAGAGAGAAAGAGAGAUAAAACGUGAUAGGAUAAAAAUAGAGCCGUUUUGGCGAGGGUGGUCGAUCGGCAGAAAGCUAAUAAGGUUUUGAUCGUUAACUAGAUCGUAAUGAUAAGAUACGAGAGAGAAUUACGAGAACCUUGGUAAUAUCGAUUAUUCGUUCGAAUUUUCAGUUCAAGUUCGGUUCGAAAGCGAGAGUGCUUAUCCGUUUCGUUCGUAAAUAACGGAUACGUUGUUAAUAAUAUUUGGAAAACUCGUUUGCUCGACCGCUCGGAACUAAUACCAUUCGCGUACGAUAUACGUGUACGUAUCUAGGGAAAAUCGAAGGAAACGUUCGAGAGACGAGCAUCCGGUAAACAAAGUCGCCGGAUCGAAGAAAGUCGAGUUCCCCUCUCUUCAGGAAAAGACUGAAGGAAAAUACCAGGUGGCGACCAAACCGUCUCGACUAAUACACGGCACGCAUACGGGCAACUUGUCGACUAACGGCUGCUUCUCUAUCCCUCUCCCUCUUCCAUGGAGGCAAGACGCUCGAGGUCCAGGCGUCUGCCGCUGUACCGGAUAUCCGUUCGUAGACCGCUCGCGAGACACAUCUUGUUCCGACGCUGGAAAAUCUCUACUGCUUAUAAAAUGCGAACACGUGUCGGCCACAACCCUGUCAACUUUCGAUAACUGCCUCCGGAGACGAAGAUCGAAUGUACUUCCUGGUACACGCGAUGUACCGAAUCGAUCGCGAUACAGAGGCCGAUCAAUUUGUUUCGCUAGCGAACGUUCCAUGGUAAGAGCCGAGAGGAGAGCCGCCAUUUAACCGAGGCACGUGCGAUCUGCGCACUUGGCACCGGACCAAAAGCCAGAGAAUGAGAUCAAACUCCGGGGUGACGUCACCAGGUGACUCGUACCGUGAAAACCGAACGAAAUCUCGGGUUGGUUCCAACUAAACUGUGCACCCCUGUAUCGCUCGGCUGGCUCCGCGUACAGGGGGAGCAACAGGUUCCUCGAUUCUUUGGGGGAGCCUUUUCGACUAUCGACGACGAAGCGACGCGUUUCGUUCGAUCGGAACGAUUAAAGAGCAUUCCUGAUCGAAAGACACGUUUUCUCGUCGAUGUUCGCGCGUAGCGGAGAAAGCCCCGUAAGGAAGGAAACAGGCGAAAUAAAGUAAGUAGACGUUGGUAGGUGCAUCUUUAAAAAGGGGUAAAACACGAUCAUUAGGUAGAACAGGUUUCAAGGUGGUCGAGCGACGAGCUACAAAUUGAUCCUCAUUCACCCUUCUAUGCUCGCGAGCGCGGCAAACUUACCCUGAAAUAACUCUUGCAGAUUACACGAGGUGAAAGAAGAUAAAACGCGUGUAAAGAGGCUAGUGAAAGUGCGAACUAAUUUAACGUGUAAACUACUCUUGGCCUUUACUUCGAUGCUGAUACAUUGCACGAAACCGAUCGAUCUUAUCGAGUCGAGGAGUCUAACUCCGGUAAAUUGCUCGGGCGAUUCGCGAAAACAUUCCAACGAAUACGUACGCGUGGACGCGGGCAAAGUAUGCGUUACGUUCGAUUUGGACGAUGAUCAAGGUGAGGAGGCUCGCGCGAAACGAUUCGAACGACAACAUUCGUAUACGUUCGCAUACGUUUAUAUAAUACGAUAUAAUAUAAUAUAAUAUAAUAUACGUUAGUUUUCGUAGAUAUUCGAGGUUGCGACAAGUUAGACAAUUUCGCUAUGUAGUUUUCCACGCAGACGUAAUAUGUGAGGAGCUCCGAAAAGUAACGAUACGUACCUUUUCGAUCGAUGCGUACCGUAAUCCAUUUGAACGAUUGAAGCGCGGUAAUUCGCGUUCGAAAAGUAUUUCACCGGAAGAAUAAAGGUGAAGAGCGGAUAUUUGGUUUUCGAUCGACUUUUUCGAGAAGGCAGCUUCUAGCGGAAUCACUCCGUGUCGCUUCGCACGCGUACGGUGAACACUCCGAGAUCUAGGGGAACGGACGCGCGAAGCAAGAAAAUUGAUGACAGGGCACGGGAGGACACGGAAGAGUCGAUCAGGACAAAAGGACAGAGAAGCUGAAGUGGCGGCUGCGGGACGACGACUAAAACGCGUACAAGUAUCGCGAGGGCGGCGGACAGGUCCGAUUUUAUAAUAGUAUCGAGAAAGUAUCGGAGCUGAGAGCGUGGUGUGUCGUUUCGGUGUAUCGACGGACACCGCUCGUCCGAUGUUUGGUAUCUGGUUCGCGUGGCGCGUGUUCGUCGUGUGCCGGCUCUCACAGAGAAGACGAAGCAAAGGCUCGCGUAUUAAGAAACCGCGUGAAAAGAUCCCAAAAAUAAUUUCGCCGCGAAGAAAUAAAUCCGGGCGAGAGGCGGUCGCGAGGGUGCCUCUCUAAAAGAAGGUUCGCCACCGGGUGCCUUCUGGGAACGAAACCGGCAUAGUAUGCGAGUUAUAAGAAGAGCGGUGAAGCGAUCGCAUCGGCUAGUCGGUAAAGAGUUUUGCCGCGGGUGAGCCACCAAGAGGAAACGCGUAGCGAGGACCCAUAUCCAUUCGGACUACGCCACGAUACGCGUUCGCGAGAAGGAAGAUCGCCGAUGGCGAGAGAAGACGAAGGAAGGCAAGGCAAGGCAAGGCAAGAACUCCACUCCCAGAACUGCGCGGGUCGAGUCGAGCCAAAACCAAAAUACCACCGAUAUAGCUUUUCUGCGAUGGUCUUUGUGUGCGCGACCAACCAGCUCUUUCCUACGAACGUCCAACCGGCUUGCACCGGAGUGAACGACGACUAACUAACCUUACCGACCUGCGCUACGAGCACCAACCGUCCACGAAGAAGACGAACACGAGCAUGAUGACGAACAGACUAUAAGGCAUUUUACGUCCGGCUGAAAAAUCAGCGGAGAAAAACGAGCGAUCUUCCUCCGUCUGUGCCUCGAGCUAGCUGGAAGCUCGAAGCUUGAAACACGAUACGCGGAGCUGAUGAAUACUCGAAACGAAGCAGAAUGGAAGCGAACUGGCGAAAAAGAAGGAAAAACGAAACGGUGACGAAGAAGAAGAAGAAGAAGGGAGAUUCGCGAGUCGAACGAACGCUCGAGCAACAUACUGAAGAGUGAGCAUCGAGUAAGAGCAAAAUGAAGAAUCAAUGAAGAGAAAGAGGAAGGUGACUCUCGCGAAACUACGUUUAAGAACGUAGCUUUUACUCGAAAAAAAAAAAAGAUCCCACCUUCUCCUUAUGUCAAUUCUUUCGAACUCGAUUAUUCUGCCAUGUACAGUCUAUCUUAUAUAACUAUUUAUAUAAGAUAAAAUAUUUUGGCCGUUCUAAAGGGCGCGCCCUUGCCUGCUUUUGAUGGAAAGGAUAACGAGUUAUUUCGUGAACAGACUUGAACGGACCAAAGGGAAAUUGUAAAAUACAAUGCCUUUCAAAUCUAUUUAGUUGACCUACGAACUUUUCGCUUAGGUGCGUACAACGUAAGGUAAGUAGUGUCUAUGUAGAACAGCAACACGGUAUAGCUAGAGUAUACCAGCAGAAAUGUUGAAAAACCUCGAUAGGAAAAUCUAUUUAGAAAAAGAAAAAACGUUACGGUUCCAUCCGAAGAUAAUUAAAGAGCCCAUGGGGUUAAGCCACCGCAUCUCUCGUUCGCCUCUCUCUUCCUCUCCCUUUCUCUCUAUUUCGCGCACGCACACUUUCAUUAAACAGAAAGAAGAAAGAAAAAAAUAAUAAAAGGAUGUGAAGAAGAUGAAGAAGAAGGAGAAGAAGAAGAAGAUGAAGGCGGAGAAGAAAAGGAGGAGGCGGAAGAAAGAGAGAAGCAAGAGCAGGAAAGCGCGUUACGCGUUACAGAGGAAGAGAAGAGAGGAGAAACGGAGCUGGCAGAUGUUGGGCGCGUGCGGCGUCGAACCAUUUAAGGCGCGAUCACUGGACGCUCGGCGUCGCAACGGCCCUCUCCGCGUCGUUCUUGCCCCGACCAACUCUCUUCUCCUCCCUCUCUCUCCCUCUUCUACCUCCACCUUCCACCUUGAGAAGUCGAACCGCGCGCCACAGCCUCCAACUCUACCUCUUCUACUUGCUCUCUCCUUAUCUCCCUAUCUCCCUAUCUCCCUAUCUCCCUAUCUUCCCUUAUUCCUCGCCGCUUAAAGCCGUUCUUCUCGUAUUUACUCGAGCAGAGUAAAGGAUUCUGGAAAUUUUGUACGCGUUCAACGGGACCGUUAGUUCUAUAAUACUAUAAUAAGCUAUAAAUACGAAUUAGACAAUGUCCGUUCGAAAGAUAGAUUGCCUUCGGAGAGGGAGAAAUUGUCGACUAUCGUAGCACGAUCCUGAGAAGAAGGGUAACGUUUUUAUUCGAGCGUUACGAUAUGCCGACGAAGAGAGAGGAGAGAUUCGGAGGAAGAUGAAUAUGAUAGAGAAUCGAAAGGCGAAUCGAAAGGGAAAGUAAGAGAGCAGCGGGGCUUUGGAAGGGAGUAAAUGAAAAGAGAAAGAAGAAAGCAAGGAAGGUGUCGCACGUGGCCGGAUAGGACCACGUGGUCCUUUUGCCUACGUCACCGGCCGAACUCGACAUCCCAUCGCGUAUUGAUUGAGAGUGGCCAUGGUCGUUUCCAUGACGACGUUUCUUUUACCUGUACACCACGGGCGUACACAGGGUACACCUUUCACGAGUGCACACAACGAGCCACCUACCUAUCCUAUCUACUACGUAGGUAGCAACCUUAGGGGAACGUAGGUGUACGUACAGUGAGUCGCACAAGUAUUGGCAUUCGCGCAAUUAGGAUUGUCUGUGUGCGCAUCGGUACAACUAUCCAGCUCGUGCUUCUUCUUUAUAUCGUAAUUAAGAUAUUAUAUCGUAUUAACAUUAAAUAUGUUACCAACGAUCGAUAGUCGGUUGGUUUUCGAAAUAAACGCGUUCGGUUUACGUGUUAUCGAGGUAGACACUAGUUCGCGUCGAAUCGAUUCGUUGGAAUAAUCUUGAAACGAUUCCGGACCAACACGGUUAAUCGGCGACUUACUUUUGCCAGUCACUGUAAGCGCGCGUCCUACCUGUGCGACGAGCUUAUCCCACCGUCUCUCUCCUCGUGCUUUCACCCUCUCGCCACACUUGGUUUAUCCUUCUUUUCGAACCCUAUCAAGCUGUCCUAUCUGCACGGUGUAUCGAGUGAAUCGGAUCGGAUCCUCGAUAGAAAUCUCUCGAGCGUACACACGUUGCCGUACCACGCGUGCAAAAUUUAUAAUCGACCCCUCGAUACCGCACCCUUCUACCUCUCUCUCGUUCUCUUUCCCUCGACCCACUGCCACCAUAGAUUCGAUCCAUUACCGCACACGGUUACCAUAGACAUCCUAGAUAUCAUAGAUCCACGGUUAAAUUGCGACGAGAAAAUUUCAAACGGAUCAAUUUUACUCCUCACGUUGCUAUUCAACGUUCCGGGAUAUCCUGAAAGUUUAGGGAGGCUGGAGAAAUUUCAUUCGGCGGUACUCGACAAUGUUUCGUUAACGAAUCGAUCGUUUCGCCGAUAUUCAUUCGAUAGCGAACGAAGAACGAUUAGGACCGGUGAUGCCACUGGCAACGAGAGCACGUGCUACCAACACGUGGUGAUGGUUAGUAGAGAGGGAACGGACUCGGCGUCCCCGAAAGAAUAAACAGGGAAAAGGGAUAUGACAUCGCCUUCGCAAUUUCUCUCGGUUUUUUCAGUAGUUCGUUACUACAUACAUAUAGUAGUAGCAUACAUAUAUGUAGUAAUGCUCGAUGCGGUAAGAAAAUAAUAUCGUUAGAAAGAUCUAUAAUGUUUCCCCUAAGCUGGAACCGUGCGUUCCAGGAUCUCCGGGACUUUCCAGGACUUUUGACCAAUAACGGCACGUGUACGUCGCACGUGAGAAGUAGGCGGAAGGAAUGAUCGGAGUUGUCGCGUUCGGAUUUACGUCAAUCGUGACCCAACGCGACGCGCAAGCUUCAAAGACAUCCCUCUGUCUAACAAAAAGGGGGAGAGAGAAAAAAAGCUUAAGCCGGUUAAAAGGAAAACUGUAGCAGCCUUUUCCGAUACGCGAGAACUUUCCAACGAGUCCGACAUCCGGUUCUUCUUAGGUUCUUCUUAGGUUCUUCUUAGGUUCUUCUUAGGUUCUUCUUACGACGAUAACUGCCGGUUGCACCACCUCCGAUCAAAAUGUCUCUUCCUUAUCUUCCCCGUACUCGCCAGACUCUGACAACGUCUGAACCGUAAAGAGAUAGGAAUCAAGAAGAAAAGAGAAUUUCGAUAGGUAUUUCGCGAAUAUAUUUUCUCAUGGGACAUCCAUUCCCAGUUUCCAAGAAUAACACGUACGGACGAUGAAUUAUUGAGACGAGCGUCAGAAUUGUUAAGCGGUUAAAUCAAAUUAGUCGACACCUGGCCCCGUUACAAAGACCCGAGGAAAUUCGUUUUAAACGUUAUUUUCAAAUUCUGCAUCGAACGUUUCCUUGCCGAAUCGAGUCUCCGAAAUAUCCUUUUAAUUCGAUCAUAUUCUUUCGCGUUCUAUCCACUCGACAGAACUCUCACGCUUGCCAAACGAUUAUUCUUUUUAUUCGGCAACUGAAUUUAUACUAAACCGAUUGAUAUUUCGAUCGAUGUCACGAGUAUCCCGAUGUCGCGAAAUGUCAAAUUCGUUCGUAACACCGAUCGACCUAAAUCUCUCGGUUCUCUCCAUAAAUAGACAAACGCGUUUCCUUCUCGAAAUAUCAAAAUCCUAUUCAAAUUUCAUCCACGACUCUAAUCGACUCUGAUCGACUCUAAUCGACCUACCGUAAUACCUGAUUCGCCAACGACUAGACCCCUCGAAACGAUAUAACGCGCGCUAUCCCAAACGAUUCGCCUAGCCUCUGAGAAAUGAACGACCAUGUCGUCGUCGUCGGUCCUCGAGAAACUUAUCGAUGAAACUGUUCUUUCUGCACCGGCUAGGUGGGUAGGAUCGUUCUCGAGGGCACGACAUGCACGAUUUCAACUACCUCUUUUCGGCAACCGAGUUCUUCGAGUUUCGGCUACGACAACUUUACAUACAUUUUCUCCGAGUUAAACUUGAACGAUCUAACUGUUAAACGAGUCGACCGAAACCGGUAUAGUGAAUUUUUAUUCAAGGAUAAGAAACUGCUUAGCGAUAUAUCGAAAAAAGUCGAAAAAAAGGAGGAAAAAAGGAAAAUAAAAGUUGAAAGAAAAAGCGGAAGAAGAAUAAAAGGCGCGAGUAAAGCGUGUAAUCGAUAUUUUAGUGGAAUUUCGCGAGGAGAAAAUUGUCGAAAUUCCCUGACUCGUCGCGGGAAAACGUAGCGCGGUUUCGUUCGACGGUUUUUACCUCUCUCUCUCUCUCUCUCUAGCUAGUCGAGCAUCUCGAAAUAAUGGAAAAAGUCAACAUAGGUUCAGGUCAUACGCGCUUUAUCCAGCCAUUUGCAUAGGCUCGAGGAGUCGCAUUGUAUCGCGCUUUGUACCGCGAGGUCGUGCAAUUCUUUGAAACGAACCAGCCACGCAUUAUUACGUAGGUUCAAGUUCCGUGAGAUCUCGCGAUAAGUCUACAUCUGAUACGAACACCUAAACGCAUUGAUUCCCCUGUUACUUCCGUUCUCCGAGCGAAACAUCGCAUUCUUACUUCGUACUUUUCACAUGCCUCCUUCCCCCUUCCUACCAUUUCUUCGCUCUUUACGCGGAUUUUUCAACGUUUUUAACUUUUUUUUAAUAGAUCCAUUAUUAUAUUAAUUAUUAACUGUCUAUGCCUUCCGAUUCAAAUUUCACCGAAAAUAAUUAAUACCGAUAUUAAUUACCUACGGAUUUUUUCUAGAGUAUCGUGCCACGAUCACGAAUCGAAAAUAUCAAAAAACCGACCAUUCGUCGCGUUAAUUUUAAAUCAUAUUAAUUAUUCGAAAACUUAUCGUUUUCUACUUUACCGAUCGAGUUCGGUGCGAUUGAUAAUUGUAUUCGCAGAUGGCAGCAUCUCACGGUAUUUAGAAGAAUUUUCAAAAAAAAAAAAAUAAAAAACAAACAAAUAACUUUUCAAAUAUUCGAUUCCUACUUAAACGUUACUUUAUCUUUCCAAGUACGAAAUUAAAUUCAUCCCUUCUUCCGUACGACUGUCCGUUUAAACCGAUAUUAGCCCUUUACCAUCGAAUGCCUACUAAUAUAGCCACCUGAAUCCUUCCAGAGGACAGACUACAGAUUAUUAAUUGCUUUACGUUGUAUAAGGAUGAGAAAUUAUAAUCCAAGAACGACAAUGUUCUGUAACUUAGGUGAAAUGGAUUACACGGAUAAUAGAUUUAAAAUGCUUAUGUUUGGACGGUGCAAUGUGUAAACAAUGUACCUGAAUUACUUGCUCUAUUGGUAGUGCUCCUCUUUGUAUCGAUACAGAAUCGUGCUUGGAUAAAGAACGUUCGACCGGUGAAAUGAUUCUGUACCCACGUAAAGGAAUAAACGUUAAGAUUUAAUAUGUCGAAUGACACCAUUCUCCCUUUAAACGUACCAUAGCUAUCCUAUAAACUUGUAAACGAUUCCAUUUGGUUCUGACAUUGUGCGUUAACGAGCUAUUAAAGUUUCGUAUAGCGCUGGUAUUACAUAUAUUCUGACAAAAAUCUUCCACUCCUAUUAGGGUACUACAUGUAUGUAUCGUUAACUAUUCGACGUGUGGUUAAAAAGCAGUGAUCUUUGCAGAAUCUUGGCUCGUAUCGAAUGCUCUUCUUAUUAAAUUGUUCCUCGUUUUCCGGCAAACGAAAAAUAAUAUUUUCUUUUAACUGUUACUGUUUCGAGCGACGAAUGUGAGAUAU